AGCCGGAUCACAGUGACGUAUUAUCACACAUUAGUGGGCAGGGCAUCAUGGACUUGGAAUUUGAGAGUGACGAGAAGAUUAUGUCUCCUCCAGCUCAUAGACACGAGUUAGGUUACGUAACGUCACAUAAAGGACCUGUCCUCUGUUCUAAUUUUAGCCACGACGCCUUAACGUCAAAUAUGGGAGGAGUUUGGCUACUGAGCGGAGCAAAUCAUAUAGUCAGUAAGCCAGUAUUAUUAACAUCUAAUUAAUCUACAAUAUGAUGCUUUUUGAUUGAAUUGUUCAGAUAAGCACUAUAAGUAUAAUUUUGUUGAUGGUGUCACUGUAGUUGCCGCCAUGGACCAUGGUUAUUAGUUGAUUUGAUCAUAUUAUGUAAAUUAUGUAGUAUUAUCAUAAGAAUGUGACACUCAAAAGUAUUUGUUACAUUAGGAUCUUUCAAAGGUUAUUUCUAAUGCUGUAUUAAUAGUGCCAAUUAACAAGCUCCACCUUGGACCACCUACUAUGCUACAAUUGUUUAAUCUUUUUUGAUUGCCAGAUUAGUCAUUUAUGUAAGCUGACUGUAAUGUCAUUGGAAAUCUUCAGUCUACUUUACUAAUAGUGCUGAAAAUCAAAGGGAUGAUUGUAGGAAAUGAUGAGGUAUAUAGGUAUGAAUUAAAUGAAUGAAUGUUGAGCACAAAGGAAAGGUUAGCAGUUGAGGAAUACUCUCUAAAGAAAUUAACAAUAAAAUCACUAAAGAAGCAGAAAGUUUACAGUCCAUCAGUCAGUCACCCUACAUUCUACAUAAAAGUAUAAUUCUUCAUCUUGGUAUUGUAUUCACAAUUUCACUUUUUUAAUAUUAAAUUUAAAUUAAUAAUCCACUCUUGCCUAUUCUUGGCU